AGAGUUUGAUCAUGGCUCAGGAUGAACGCUGGCGGCGUGCUUAACACAUGCAAGUCGAACGAACCUUCGGGUUAGUGGCGGACGGGUGAGUAACGCGUGAGAAUCUGCCCUCAGGAGGGGGAUAACGGUUGGAAACGACCGCUAAUACCCCAUAUGCCGCGAGGUGAAAUGAAUUUCGCCUGAGGAUGAGCUCGCGUCUGAUUAGCUAGUUGGUGGGGUAAAGGCCUACCAAGGCAUCGAUCAGUAGCUGGUCUGAGAGGAUGAUCAGCCACACUGGGACUGAGACACGGCCCAGACUCCUACGGGAGGCAGCAGUGGGGAAUUUUCCGCAAUGGGCGAAAGCCUGACGGAGCAACGCCGCGUGAGGGAUGAAGGCCUCUGGGCUGUAAACCUCUUUUAUCAAGGAAGAAGAUCUGACGGUACUUUGAUGAAUAAGCCACGGCUAAUUCCGUGCCAGCAGCCGCGGUAAUACGGGAGUGGCAAGCGUUAUCCGGAAUUAUUGGGCGUAAAGCGUCCGCAGGCGGCCCUUCAAGUCUGCUGUUAAAAAGUGGAGCUUAACUCCAUCAUGGCAGUGGAAACUGUUGGGCUUGAGUGUGGUAGGGGCAGAGGGAAUUCCCGGUGUAGCGGUGAAAUGCGUAGAUAUCGGGAAGAACACCAGUGGCGAAGGCGCUCUGCUGGGCCAUCACUGACGCUCAUGGACGAAAGCCAGGGGAGCGAAAGGGAUUAGAUACCCCUGUAGUCCUGGCCGUAAACGAUGAACACUAGGUGUCGGGGGAAUCGACCCCCUCGGUGUCGUAGCCAACGCGUUAAGUGUUCCGCCUGGGGAGUACGCACGCAAGUGUGAAACUCAAAGGAAUUGACGGGGGCCCGCACAAGCGGUGGAGUAUGUGGUUUAAUUCGAUGCAACGCGAAGAACCUUACCAGGGUUUGACAUCCUGCGAAUCUCUUGGAAACGAGAGAGUGCCUUCGGGAACGCAGUGACAGGUGGUGCAUGGCUGUCGUCAGCUCGUGUCGUGAGAUGUUGGGUUAAGUCCCGCAACGAGCGCAACCCACGUCUUUAGUUGCCAGCAUUUAGUUGGGCACUCUAGAGAGACCGCCGGUGAUAAACCGGAGGAAGGUGUGGAUGACGUCAAGUCAUCAUGCCCCUUACAUCCUGGGCUACACACGUACUACAAUGCUACGGACAAAGGGCAGCAAGUUCGCGAGGACAAGCAAAUCCCAUAAACCGUGGCUCAGUUCAGAUCGUAGGCUGCAACUCGCCUACGUGAAGGAGGAAUCGCUAGUAAUCGCAGGUCAGCAUACUGCGGUGAAUACGUUCCCGGGCCUUGUACACACCGCCCGUCACACCAUGGAAGUUGGCCACGCCCGAAGCCGUUACUCCAACCCUCGGGAGGAGGACGUCGAAGGUGGGGCUGAUGACUGGGGUGAAGUCGUAACCAAGGUACCA
rnacentral:rRNA from 1 species